rnacentral:rRNA from 1 species
CCAACAGGGAUUGCCUCAGUAGCGGCGAGUGAAGCGGCAAAAGCUCAAAUUUGAAAUCUGGCGUCUUUGGCGUCCGAGUUGUAAUUUGAAGAAGGUAUCUUUGGGCCCGGCUCUUGUCUAUGUUCCUUGGAACAGGACGUCACAGAGGGUGAGAAUCCCGUGCGAUGAGAUGACCCGGGUCUGUGUAAAGUUCCUUCGACGAGUCGAGUUGUUUGGGAAUGCAGCUCUAAGUGGGUGGUAAAUUCCAUCUAAAGCUAAAUAUUGGCGAGAGACCGAUAGCGAACAAGUACAGUGAUGGAAAGAUGAAAAGAACUUUGAAAAGAGAGUGAAAAAGUACGUGAAAUUGUUGAAAGGGAAGGGCUUGAGAUCAGACUUGGUAUUUUGCAUGUUGCUCUCUCGGGGGCGGCCGCUGCGGUUUACCGGGCCAGCAUCGGUUUGGAGCGGCAGGAUAAUGGCGGAGGAAUGUGGCACGGCUUCUGCUGUGUGUUAUAGCCUCUGACGAUACUGCCAGCCUAGACCGAGGACUGCGGUUUUUACCUAGGAUGUUGGCAUAAUGAUCUUAAGUCGCCCGUCUUGAAACACGGACCAAGGAGUCUAACGUCUAUGCGAGUGUUUGGGUGUAAAACCCGUACGCGUAAUGAAAGUGAACGAAGGUGGGGGCCCAUUAGGGUGCACCAUCGACCGAUCCUGAUGUGUUCGGAUGGAUUUGAGUAAGAGCAUAGCUGUUGGGACCCGAAAGAUGGUGAACUAUGCCUGAAUAGGGUGAAGCCAGAGGAAACUCUGGUGGAGGCUCGUAGCGGUUCUGACGUGCAAAUCGAUCGUCGAAUUUGGGUAUA